UUGUAUAACCUGGAGUUGACGAAGUUCACAGUGCCUGCAGACGCCAGCUGACUGUUCCCUGCUCAGAGACCAAGCAGGAAGUUCUUGUGUGUACGCGCAGCUGAUUGGUCAGAAUCACAGCCACACCCUCUAAGACUUGAGGACCUGUCACUGGUCUCCUCUGGGCAUGGGAAGCCCAGGAUGUAUUCUGCAAAGUUCUCUACUAAUAUUUCACGUGGGAUCACACCGUCCAAAGAAUUUUCAGAAUCUCCAGCUAUGGACACAAGGACACAUAUAAUUAGGGGCUCAGACCUUUUAGAAGUGUUGUGAAACACUCCACCACCUCGUCCUCUGUCAUGGGUUCUCCUGUCAAAACAUCCCUUCACAAUGAUAUGACUGUGCAUGACUUUACAGAUUAAAUCACAAAGACAAAUACGGCCCUGGUGUACC